rnacentral:rRNA from 1 species
CAGCCGCCGCGGUAAUACGAAGGGGGCUAGCGUUGUUCGGAAUUACUGGGCGUAAAGCGCACGUAGGCGGAUUGUUAAGUUAGGGGUGAAAUCCCAGGGCUCAACCCUGGAACUGCCUUUAAUACUGGCAAUCUCGAGUCCGGGAGAGGUGAGUGGAAUUCCGAGUGUAGAGGUGAAAUUCGUAGAUAUUCGGAGGAACACCAGUGGCGAAGGCGGCUCACUGGCUCGGUACUGACGCUGAGGUGCGAAAGCGUGGGGAGCAAACAGGAUUAGAUACCCCUGUAGUCCCUGUCUCUUAUAC